rnacentral:rRNA from 1 species
GCCCAGACUCCUACGGGAGGCAGCAGUGGGGAAUAUUGGACAAUGGGCGCAAGCCUGAUCCAGCCAUGCCGCGUGAGUGAUGAAGGCCUUAGGGUUGUAAAGCUCUUUUACCCGGGAAGAUAAUGACGGUACCGGGAGAAUAAGCCCCGGCUAACUUCG